AGAGUUUGAUCCUGGCCCAGAUUGAACGCUGGCGGCAUGCCUUACACAUGCAAGUCGAACGGCAGCACGAGAGCUUGCUCUUGGUGGCGAGUGGCGAACGGGUGAGUAAUAUAUCGGAACGUACCCUAGAGUGGGGGAUAACGUAGCGAAAGUUACGCUAAUACCGCAUACGAUCUACGGAUGAAAGUGGGGGAUCGCAAGACCUCAUGCUCAUGGAGCGGCCGAUAUCUGAUUAGCUAGUUGGUGGGGUAAAAGCUCACCAAGGCGACGAUCAGUAGCUGGUCUGAGAGGACGACCAGCCACACUGGAACUGAGACACGGUCCAGACUCCUACGGGAGGCAGCAGUGGGGAAUUUUGGACAAUGGGCGCAAGCCUGAUCCAGCAAUGCCGCGUGGGUGAAGAAGGCCUUCGGGUUGUAAAGCUCUUUUGUCAGGGAAGAAACGGUGGACUCUAAUACAGAUCACUAAUGACGGUACCUGAAGAAUAAGCACCGGCUAACUACGUGCCAGCAGCCGCGGUAAUACGUAGGGUGCAAGCGUUAAUCGGAAUUACUGGGCGUAAAGCGUGCGCAGGCGGUUGUGCAAGACAGAUGUGAAAUCCCCGGGCUCAACCUGGGAAUUGCAUUUGUGACUGCACGGCUAGAGUGUGUCAGAGGGGGGUAGAAUUCCACGUGUAGCAGUGAAAUGCGUAGAGAUGUGGAGGAAUACCGAUGGCGAAGGCAGCCCCCUGGGAUAACACUGACGCUCAUGCACGAAAGCGUGGGGAGCAAACAGGAUUAGAUACCCUGGUAGUCCACGCCCUAAACGAUGUCUACUAGUUGUCGGGUCUUAAUUGACUUGGUAACGCAGCUAACGCGUGAAGUAGACCGCCUGGGGAGUACGGUCGCAAGAUUAAAACUCAAAGGAAUUGACGGGGACCCGCACAAGCGGUGGAUGAUGUGGAUUAAUUCGAUGCAACGCGAAAAACCUUACCUACCCUUGACAUGUCUGGAAUCCUUGAGAGAUCAGGGAGUGCUCGAAAGAGAAUCAGAACACAGGUGCUGCAUGGCUGUCGUCAGCUCGUGUCGUGAGAUGUUGGGUUAAGUCCCGCAACGAGCGCAACCCUUGUCAUUAGUUGCUACGAAAGGGCACUCUAAUGAGACUGCCGGUGACAAACCGGAGGAAGGUGGGGAUGACGUCAAGUCCUCAUGGCCCUUAUGGGUAGGGCUUCACACGUCAUACAAUGGUACAUACAGAGGGCCGCCAACCCGCGAGGGGGAGCUAAUCCCAGAAAGUGUAUCGUAGUCCGGAUUGUAGUCUGCAACUCGACUACAUGAAGUUGGAAUCGCUAGUAAUCGCGGAUCAGCAUGUCGCGGUGAAUACGUUCCCGGGUCUUGUACACACCGCCCGUCACACCAUGGGAGCGGGUUUCACCAGAAGUGGGUAGCCUAACCGCAAGGAGGGCGCUCACCACGGUGGGAUUCGUGACUGGGGUGAAGUCGUAACAAGGUA
rnacentral:rRNA from 1 species